GACGGAGGAUGCAAGUGUUAUCCGGAAUCACUGGGCGUAAAGCGUCUGUAGGUGGUUCAAAAGUCCACUGUUAAAGAUUGAAGCUUAACUUCAAAAAUGCCGUGGAAACAUUUGAAACUUGAGUAUGAUAGGGGUAGAGGGAAUUUCCAGUGGAGCGGUGAAAUGCGUAGAUAUUGGAAAGACCACCAAUGGCGAAGGCACUCUACUGGGCCAUUACUGACACUGAGAGACGAAAGCUAGGGGAGCAAAUGGG
rnacentral:rRNA from 1 species